rnacentral:rRNA from 1 species
GACGAACGCUGGCGGCGUGCUUAACACAUGCAAGUCGAACGAUGAAGCCGGGGCUUGCUCUGGUGAAUUAGUGGCGAACGGGUGAGUAACACGUGAGUAACCUGCCCUUGACUCUGGGAUAACUGCGGGAAACUGUAGCUAAUACCGGAUACGACCCUCGGAGGCAUCUCCUGGGGGUGGAAAGAAUUUCGGUCAAGGAUGGACCCGCGGCCUAUCAGCUAGUUGGUGAGGUAAAGGCUCACCAAGGCGACGACGGGUAGCCGGCCUGAGAGGGUGACCGGCCACACUGGGACUGAGACACGGCCCAGACUCCUACGGGAGGCAGCAGUGGGGAAUAUUGCACAAUGGGCGCAAGCCUGAUGCAGCAACGCCGCGUGAGGGAUGACGGCCUUCGGGUUGUAAACCUCUUUUAGCAGGGAAGAAGCGAAAGUGACGGUACCUGCAGAAAAAGCACCGGCUAACUACGUGCCAGCCGCCGCGGUAA